GCAGGAGUUGCCAAGCCUGGUCUACGGCGCUAGACUGAGACUCUAGUGACAUAGGUCUUCGUGGGUUCGAAUCCCACCUCCUGCA
rnacentral:tRNA from 1 species